ensembl:lncRNA
GCUUGCUGGAGGCCGCUUUGGCUCCUUCCAGCCAGGCUGAGCCUUUCCGGGAGGGUGAUCGCAAAGAGGCCUGGGCUGAUGGCAGGCAAGAAACCCUGUUAGUAAAGAGGCGGCAUAACCUCACUGCACAGAGCAGCGUGCCUUUGCUGCAGGACCCCCCCCCCCCCCCACCUGCCGCAGACCCCGGGGGUCUCCGCAUCCCUGGGUUCUGUCUCUCUACAGCUAAGCCCCUCUCCCUUUACUGCGGAAGGCCUGGGACGCCCUUGCCAGCCAGGAUUCCUUCAGACUGCCUCUGCCCCCUGAUGCUGGCAGAUUUUUCCUUUUCCUCCGCUGCUGCAGGAUUCCCCGGACAACCCAGAGGUCAAGUUCAUGGACUCCUAUUUCCUAGGUCAAGGGCGAGGGGCCCCUGGUGUGGCUUAGGCUGGGCCACUUGGAUCUGGAUCUACCUGGGCAAGUCUGAUGGACGGUGAGGAGGAUGGGCCAGAAGCUGGGUGCAGUGGCUACCCAGGGCAUGUAAAGGGCACCGGGGUGUACCGCUCAGACCCCCUUCCAGGAAGGGCUCAGGCCCCGGCCACAAUGAGCAUGGCGGGGUGAUGGGUCCUUCAGGAUAGACCUCAGCUUUCAAACCUGGCCCUACUCUGCUUAGGACUGCCGAGGCCAACAUGUGGUCCAGGGGCCCAGCGCUUCUGUCCAGCGCGGGACCCUUCUGCUAGUCGUCUGUGCUCCAGAACCCCAGCGAGCAGCUCCUGGGUAGGUUUCCCUCCUGCCUGACUGUUCUGUUUCUCCAACACCCCCCCACCCCCACCCCCCCCCCCCCCCGUCUCUCCCGCAGGAGUUUCUCAGCUACCCCCUGCAUGCCUAACUCCAGCUUGGGGCCUUUUCUGCAGAGCCCAGCCCAAUAGAUUGAUGUAUCCGAUGGAAUCAAUGCCAGGGUCCCUGACGUUUGGGGGAUUGCAAACCCCUUUUGAGAACAGGACACUAACUGUGGAAGUCUCCCCAAGAAAUGCGUGCUCGCGUGGGCGCACACACGCUCAGUUUCGCAGACUGCAGACCCCCCAGCCUCCCAGGGGCCUUUGCGGUCACGUUGAGAACCCGGACUUGAGGGAGGUGGGGAGGGUGUGAGGGCUGGAGGGCUGGAAGGGAGGGGGAGGGGAGAAGGGGGCGGGGGGAGCUAAUGGCAGAGCUUCAAGCAUUUGGAGAGGAGGCUUAAUUCUAAUUUCUGCCUCAGAUCUGACCCUCAGCGCAGCCUCCCAUGAGCUCCUGGAUGCGGUGAGAAAAAAUCGGAAGCCAAUUCCCUUAAGUGCUCCGCAAGGCCCUGGAGGCAGGCUGCCCGGCUUGGCCCCAUAUGGCUCUGGCACAAUGAGGGCUCAGAGAGCAGACUGGCUCGGCCUUGGAGUGCAGGGGCCCAGUCGCCCAUCUGGCAGGGGUGGGGGAAGGGACCCCCAUUCUCUGGGGAGACCGCGGUAGACACACAGCACUUGCUAUAUCCCGGGCACAGAGAAGCCCUCACGUGUAGUGAGGGGCUGAUUUAAUGCACACGCAACCCCAUGUGGAGUCACCUAAAGUGACUGAUGCACAGAGAAGGUUGGCAACCUGCUAAAAUCGCACAGCUAAAGAGCAGCAGAGGUAGGAUCUGAACCCACGUUGCGUGGGUCUGUGUUUUUUUUAUCCCUGUCUGUGCCGGCUCUGUGCUUGUCAAGAACUUAGACACUGGUGUCAGAGGGCUUUGGAUACAUUCCCAGCUCCUCCUCUGCCUAAGUCAUGUGAGCUCACUAGGUUUCCUACCUCUUUGUGACUCAGUUCCCUCAACGCAGUAGAAAGUGAUAUUAAUCCUACCUCAUAGAGACGUGUGCGGUGUGAGUGAGCCAAUCACGUCAAGGGUUUUUGCUGCCACACAGAAAAAUGUUCCAAAUGAUGUGGCAUACAGGUGAAGUCUUUGGACUUAUGCCAUCCACAGAGCUCGACCGACGUGCCCUCUUUCUUUCUUUCUUUCUUUCUUUCUUUCUUUCUUUUUUUUAAGUUUAUUUAUUUAUUUUGUGUGUGUGAGAGAGAGAGAGAGAGAGAGAAAAAACACAAGCGGGGGAGGGGCAGAGAGAGAGGGAGGGAGGCACAGAAUCCGAAGCGGGCUCCGGGCUCUGAGCUGGAAGCACAGAGCCCGAUGUGGGGCUCGAACUCACGAACCGGGAGGUCACGACGUGAGCCGAGAUCGAAAGUCAGACACGUAACCGACUGAGCCACCCAGGCGUCCCUCAGAGUCCUUUGUGCCCCAACUCCUUAGGCCAGCCCAGCCCAGCCCAGCCCAGCCACAUAAAGCCUUGAGGUAGGAGGCCUGAAUCCAGCCACAGAGUUCAGGAAACCAGGUGAGGUUUUUUCCACGGAUUCCUUGCCCGGCACGCAGCUCCAGGUCUCUCGAUUGCCUCAGUGCUGUGUCUUCCAAGAGUUUCCGUGCCAGGAGCCUGCCCCAGCCCCUGCACAUUCCUGCCAGUGCCUGAAUUAAUAAUGCUGUCGUUGCCCUCGGAGACGAGGGACGUGUGGGAGAAGGCUGAGGGUACGCUGUCGUCCCCCCAGGCCUUCUGGAAAGCCAGAGUCAACCCACCCGAGGGGGAAGGGAGGCCCCACGGCUGUGUAGGUGCCACCUGCCUUACAUCGGCCCAGUCUCCCAGUCUGUGGACUUAGAACAGUUAUGGGGAGCGUUGCUUGCUUUUGUCAAAGGAUUCCCUUCUAGUGAGUUUAAAGGCCUGGUAUUAAUACAAAUUUAAUCAACACGAAACUUUUCUACUACACAUGUUUUUUGUGUGUAAGGGCAUACGCACUCACAAUCGGGAGCACUGAGCACCCGUUCCACAAAAAUAUUUCUACAGGCAGAUGAAAGAGAUUCUCAGUUGUGAAGACAGUUCUAAAGGCAGGUUAGAUGAAAGCUAGGGGCUGAGGGUAGGGGCUGUGUAGACAGCAGAGUGCGGGAUGCAGGACCGGGAAGAAAGGAGGAUUUUUUUUUUUUUUUUUUGGAAUGGAUUUUCCCCAUUUAAAAAAAUCACGUUUUUAAAUUAUGUUUUAUAGAUUUGUUUUAAAACAUGAUAUGAAAUAAUUAAACGCACAAUGUAAUUUCACUGUAGAAUCUGAGUUCUAUCAAAUAGGACCUCAAAUACUCAAACGCCUUCAAUGGAGGCUUUUCUUAAGCGAACUAAAUUUCCGUGUCUUACUUCUCAUUUCAGAAUUCAUUAAUCCUGUCUCCUUAGAGGCCUUUCUCCCCCCUGGCAUAUCAAGGCAUGAAGAGCGAGAGAGUGUGGUUCUCACAUUAGCUGGAGCAAGGAGGUACCUCUAAGCACUAAAAGUAGCCAGUUCAUCCUGAACUUUCUUUCUCUGUUUGCGGAUUCAGAACUCAGCUCACUUAGGAUCUUUCACUGAGAGGUUUUGUCCCUCUACCCCCGCAAGUAAAUUGGUGCGCAUGUAUUUUUCCUAACAAACGACGUUUAAUUAAAUCCGUUAAUUUGACGGUAAGUGCACCAGGAAGGUUUGCUUUUUAAAACUGCCCUAAAGUUAAUACUUUUCAUCUGUAUUCUUUUCUGUUUGCUUUUACUGCAUAAAUGGUCAGUGCUUAUGGGGCACCUGGGUGGCUCAGUCGGUUAAGCAUCUGACUUCGGCUCAGGUCAUGAUCUCGAGGUUCGUGAGGUUGAGCCCCGCAUCGGGCUUUGUGCUGACAGCUCAGAGCCUGGAGCCUGCUUCGGAUUCUAUGUCUCCCUCUCUCUCUGCUCCUCCCCAGCUCAUGCUCUGUCUCUCUCUCUCUGUCAAAAAUAAAUAAACAUUGAAAAAGAAAAUAUUUUUAAAA